AACGAACGCUGGCGGCAUGCCUAACACAUGCAAGUCGAACGAGACCUUCGGGUCUAGUGGCGCACGGGUGCGUAACGCGUGGGAACCUGCCCUUAGGUUCGGAAUAACUCCCCGAAAGGGGUGCUAAUACCGGAUAAUGUCUUCGGACCAAAGAUUUAUCGCCUUUGGAUGGGCCCGCGUUGGAUUAGCUAGUUGGUAGGGUAAAAGCCUACCAAGGCGACGAUCCAUAGCUGGUCUGAGAGGAUGGUCAGCCACACUGGGACUGAGACACGGCCCAGAAUCUUACGGGAGGGAGGAGAGGGGGAUAGUGGAACACGGGGGGAAGGCUGAACCAGCACGGCCGCGUGAGUGAUGUAGGCCUUAGGGUUGUAAAGCUCUUUUAACCGGGAUGAUAAUGACAGUACCGGGAGAAUAAGCUCCGGCUAACUCCGUG
rnacentral:rRNA from 1 species